rnacentral:lncRNA from 1 species
CAAAAUGACUGCUGCCUCCCUUCUGCCCUCCACAUCUCCCACACUUAAGAAUUCUAGCCAUACAGAUCCCAAACAGCCAAUCAUCCAUGUGAGCAGGUUGAAGAAAAAUCCUUCACCCCCGCAAAGGCUUGGAUGGAGCUGCUCAAGGCACAUCAAUCAAUGCAGUCAGAGAGACAAGACUGGCAGCUUCUUGGCUGACCUUGAAAUGUUUCAGGGGUAGUUUUGGCAUCUUGUGUGCCCCAAGUCUACUCCAAAGUGAAAUUGCCCAACUGGUUGUUAACAGGCUAUUAGUAAUUGGUCUGUCUAGUUCUAAUGAUUGGUUGGUACCUGUGUGUACAUGUCCCGCGUUUACUUAGGUGGAACCUCUGGUGUUUUGGGAGUAGUGAUUAACCCUGCAGAGUGUAUGGUCUUGUUCUAAUCUUUGCAGGAGUAUUGAUGUUAAGUAGACGCAUUGUUUGCCAGGUCAAAUUUGUCUUUUUCUGUUGCAUUUCUUUUUAAAAGCCAAGUUUUUUUUUCUCCUAUAUCACAAAGAGAAUUUUAUUUUUCUGAUAGGAUUUUUUACAGACCUUUAGGAUUAAAAUUAGCUGCCUUUCACUUCUGGGCUUUACUCUCUUCUUGGGUUAAUUUUAGCUAAUCAGUGGCAAAAUAAGUUGCCUUAAAAUCACACUUCCUUCCACAGUCUUAGAAAAAUAAAUGAAAAAAAGAGACCCUACUUAAGUGGCCUUGUUAUUUCUCCUACUUGAUUUGCA